CUGCUGUCCGGGCGAUCUUCCAGAACAGGGCGGAGUGGCUGGGUCGGGCUGUGGGCUUCAGCGGAGACAGACUCACCAUCCAGCAACAUGCGGAGAUUCUCUCCAAGCACCUGGCACCGAAGGUGUUCAAGGCUACCGACAUGACAGCUGAGGCAUUUGCCCAGCUGGGUUUCCCUGGUGCUGACGACCUCGGAAACAUGUUCAAGUUCUACCGACUUCACAACCCUGACCGUAGUGUGGAGCUGACCCGCCAGCUACACCCCGCCGCCAAGAGCUUCGACACGUGGGUGGCAGAGAACAAGGAGGCGCUGCUAAAGGCACUGGACUAGCCAGUAGGCCUUAGUAGUCUCUACCAAACUGACUACCUAGCUGUUAUAGGGAGAAUAAUUUGCCAGGGGAGUUUUGCUACCAGAGGGUUUGGCCGGCCGGAAGAGGAAGCUAAUAGCGUGGGCUGUCUCCCCUGGCAAUUUUUUUUUGCCGAAUUUAACGAUUCCCGUACCCACGUAGAAAGGCCUGGUGGAGGCUAACAGGAUGGUGUCAUGGAACCAAAUGCUAGUGUCUGUUGAGUCAAAUUUCAAAUAAAUCAGUAUAAAACUGAA